AGAGUCGUAGCUCCGUGGGGAGAGCAUCGGCUUUGCACGCAGAAGGUCUCAGGUUCAGUCCCCGGCAUUUCCA